AGAGUUUGAUCCUGGCUCAUGAUGAACGCUGGCGGCGUGCCUAAUACAUGCAAGUCGAGCGAACCACUUCGGUGGUGAGCGGCGAACGGGUGAGUAACACGUAGGUUAUCUGCCCAUCAGACGGGGACAACGAUUGGAAACGAUCGCUAAUACCGGAUAGGACGAAAGUUUAAAGGUGCUUCGGCACCACUGAUGGAUGAGCCUGCGGCGCAUUAGCUAGUUGGUAGGGUAAAGGCCUACCAAGGCGACGAUGCGUAGCCGACCUGAGAGGGUGAACGGCCACACUGGGACUGAGACACGGCCCAGACUCCUACGGGAGGCAGCAGUAGGGAAUCUUCGGCAAUGGGCGAAAGCCUGACCGAGCAACGCCGCGUGAAUGAUGAAGGCCUUCGGGUUGUAAAAUUCUGUUAUAAGGGAAGAAUGGCUCUAGUAGGAAAUGGCUAGAGUGUGACGGUACCUUAUGAGAAAGCCACGGCUAACUACGUGCCAGCAGCCGCGGUAAUACGUAGGUGGCGAGCGUUAUCCGGAAUUAUUGGGCGUAAAGAGCGCGCAGGUGGUUGAUUAAGUCUGAUGUGAAAGCCCACGGCUUAACCGUGGAGGGUCAUUGGAAACUGGUCAACUUGAGUGCAGAAGAGGGAAGUGGAAUUCCAUGUGUAGCGGUGAAAUGCGUAGAGAUAUGGAGGAACACCAGUGGCGAAGGCGGCUUCCUGGUCUGUAACUGACACUGAGGCGCGAAAGCGUGGGGAGCAAACAGGAUUAGAUACCCUGGUAGUCCACGCCGUAAACGAUGAGUGCUAAGUGUUGGGGGU
rnacentral:rRNA from 1 species